rnacentral:tRNA from 3 species
UCCGGGGUAGCUCAAUGGCAGAGCAUUCGGCUGUUAACCGAAGGGUUGUGGGUUCGAGUCCCACCCCCGGAG